UACGUAGGUGGCAAGCGUUGUCCGGAUUUACUGGGCGUAAAGAGCGCGCAGGCGGUCGAAUAAGUCGAAUGUGAAAGCCCCCGGCUCAACUGGGGAGGGUCAUUCGAUACUGUUCAACUCGAAGGCAGGAGAGGGAAGCGGAAUUCCCGGUGUAGUGGUGAAAUGCGUAGAUAUCGGGAGGAACACCAGUGGCGAAGGCGGCUUUCCGGCCUGUUCUUGACGCUGAGGCGCGAAAGCCAGGGGAGCAAACGGG
rnacentral:rRNA from 1 species